rnacentral:lncRNA from 1 species
ACUGAUUUGAAAUGAACAUAUAAAUGAACUGCGCAAAAGAACACAAAAUCCAAUCACCCUGUUACCAUGUCGUUGACUUCCAUCAAGUCACUUUCCAUGUGUACUCUGGAACAUCACUUUAGCCUGGUAUGUCCCAGGAGCAUGCUCCAUCAACUAAGUAUAUUGCACUGAGAGAAACCACUGUUCUCAUCAUCUAGUCUAUAAUGCUUAUUUUUGUUUCUUCUUUCUCUGCACAUGAACCAUAAAGAAAAUAAGCUCAAGAAGGAAAGGACGACUAAUCUUUUUCUAUACUAUAUGGGAGUACGGAAUUUGUAAUACCUUGUUUCCAUGUCAAUCCAUGUCUCAUAUUUUCAGUUGUUGGUAGCCAGCAAGUAAUCCCUUGUCCAUAGUGCCUCUUUCUCUGUCCUGGGAUGGCGUUCACAUAUUUUCUGUAGUAGCAUUAUCAACAGGUAACAAUAGUCCACAACAUAUAUAAGAUAUAUUUUGAUGCAAAUGUACCCAGCUAAAAUCUCCAUGAGCGUACAAAAUAGAGACUAAAGGUUCGUCAACAUAGUUUGAGGAUCUGGCUAACAAUGUGAAAAAUUUGGAGUUUUCACACUGAAAACAAAAAAUA